rnacentral:rRNA from 1 species
UACAGAGGUGGCAAGCGUUGUUCGGAAUUACUGGGCGUAAAGGGCGCGUAGGCGGCCAUCUAAGUCCGACGUGAAAUCCCCAGGCUUAACCUGGGAACUGCGUCGGAUACUGGAUGGCUUGAAUUCGGGAGAGGGAUGCAGAAUUCCAGGUGUAGCGGUGAAAUGCGUAGAUAUCUGGAGGAAUACCGGUGGCGAAGGCGGCAUCCUGGACCGACAUUGACGCUGAACGGCGAAAGCUAGGGGAGCAAACGGG